rnacentral:rRNA from 1 species
CCAAUGAUUUUUAAAUGGCCGCAGUAUUUUGACUGUGCAAAGGUAGCAUAAUCAUUAGUUCCUUAAUUAGGAGCUGGUAUGAAUGGUUUGAUGAGAAGCUGUCUGUCUCUGUUUAGCUUACUUAGAAUUUUAUCUUUGAGUAAAAAAGCUUAAAUUUAAUACAAAGACGAGAAGACCCUAUAGAGUUUCAUAGUUUGUUUAUUAGUAUUAGGGGGAGAUUUGUUGUUUUCUGGUAAGUUUACUAUUUGGUUGGGGUGAUAUGAAAGUUGAAAAAACCUUUUAUUAUUACUACAUUGAUUAAUGAGUGCUUGAUCCUUGGUUUUGGAUUAUAAGAUCAAAUUACCUUAGGGAUAACAGCGUGAUUUUCCUUGAAAGUUCUUAUUGACAGGGGAGUUUGCGACCUCGAUGUUGGAUUAAAAUUUACUUUUGGUGUAGUAGCUAAAUAGUUGGGUCUGUUCGACCUUUAAAAUUUUACAUGAUCU